AUCAAUGGUCACGACCUUACUUGAACUAUAGGCUCGUACAUCUGUUUUCUUGAGAAAAUUUCUCAAGAGACAGGCCCUAAACCCUUGUUGAUGAACCGUGACCGUGCGGCUUGAGCGUGAUUGACGGCUACGAUUGUCCUUGGAUGCAUCCGGUGCUGUAGAGGAUGGUUACUCGGCUCGGUUCUCCCUUGCCGGGGUGGUCGCACGGCGGUCUGACAGUGUCAUAAAUCUAAUAGGCCAGACAUAUGGACAAGCUGAAAAAAGGUCAUAAAAGGACUGCUUCUGAAUCCUGAAUCAACGGUGCAGCGACUGAGGAGUUGAUCCGGUUUGAUUUUCCGGAAGCUCUCUCAUCAGAUUUACUACCCCAGCAAUGCUUUGCGAGAUGUCCUUUCCUCCCACAGUUGUCACAGACGAUGAUGACUCUCUCGUCUCUCUCAGGUUCUUUCCUCUUCCAACCUACGCUCUGAGAUCCUCUAUGUGUUGUUCCUAGACUCGGUGUCCUUUCCAUCUGAGAGGAGCCUGUGGCUGGUCUAUAUGUAACCCCUUUUGCUCCAUUUCUGAGAAGCUCUUCCUCAGCUUUUACUCGUUCCAUCAACAUCCAGACUGGUAAAUACUCCUCUUCCAUUAACCUGGUGCAGAAGCCUCUCCAAGACGGGGGAAACUUGGAGAUGAUGGUACUCACAUGAAAUGCCUCAUCAAGAAACAUACCAGCACUCACUAUGGAAUCCGCAAUCUUGUUAAAGACUUGGACUUGCUCGAGUAUCGGUCUCUCUUCCACCA